UAGAAGAAAAUUUGGGAUAAAAUUAAGAAAAAUUGAUAGAUAUAUAGAGAAGUCUAUAACGGUUUGCUAUUUAGGGCUUGUGGGCUUAAGUGGGCCUAAAGGGGUCUAAUGGGCUCUAUUUCAGCUCAAUUUUUGAGUUAAAUGGAAAAAUUGAUGGAUAAGGAUGAGGAAGCAAAUGGAAGAUUGUGAAAGAAUCUAGAAUAAGAAUGAAAUAACAUGAUGAAAGAUGAUAACUUUUUAGAUUAAAUGGUAUCAUGAGAAGUGAUAACGUUUAGAUAAAGUGACUUAACGAAAUGUGGCAACCUUUUGAUGAAGUUGCAUGGUGGAAGGUUUUUUCUCUCGUGGCUCCCCAAUCCUAUAAAUAGGAGAAGGGGAAAUGGAGGUAGAGAUGUUGUGGAUGAGAGAAAAAUAGUGAGCAGCAUAGAGACGAAGGAAGAAGAUGGAGUAUGAAGUGUAUGAUUUUUUGAGAGUAUUGUGAGGAUUAUAGAUAAAAACCUUGAAGAAACUCUCCUUGCAUGCUUUAAUUAUGACAAACCAAGUGAAGGACAAACAAAAAAU
rnacentral:lncRNA from 1 species